rnacentral:rRNA from 1 species
UACUCGAGUGGCGAACGGGUGAGUAACACGUGGGUGAUCUGCCCUGCACUUCGGGAUAAGCUUGGGAAACUGGGUCUAAUACCGGAUAGGAACCAUCUUCAGUGUGGUGGUUGGAAAGUUUUUUCGGUGUAGGAUGAGCUCGCGGCCUAUCAGCUUGUUGGUGGGGUAAUGGCCUACCAAGGCGGCGACGGGUAGCCGGCCUGAGAGGGUGUACGGCCACAUUGGGACUGAGAUACGGCCCAG